CAGAUAGGAAACUGAAACACAAGAGAGAUGAAGUGACUUUGCUCAAGGUCUCAGAGAAAAACAAUAGCGGAGCCAGGAAUAAAACUCGUGCCUUCUAAUUCCCAGAACAGCAGUCAAUCAACUUGGUCAAGUUGGGACUUCAUCUAUGGCUAUUACUCUCUUCUAAUGAAGCAAUUUAUCUAUGAACUGUAUCUGAAUCAGAUUCACUAGCAAAUUGAUUACACGUGCCUUAUUAACUUAUUAGAACUGACAUUCAACUUGAGCCAUCUCAUCAAACAUGACUGGAAAUAGCUGUUUCUGUGGUGUAUGGGAGCAGAGUUGCAUUGGGCUGACUAGGGCACGUCUCCAUCCUUGCAGAGUUCAAGAGCUGUUAAGACAAUGAUCAACACAACAUAACUUCCAGAUUAAGGAAUGCAGGAGGGAGAUGCACAGAACAACACAUGAGGUUGUGUUGCUGAGCCCAGUCUGGGCUGCAGUGAGGAAGGGACACGAGCCUGUUCCCCACUGCAUGCCUGGGGAUGCAGACAUAGUUGACCAUUAGCACCCCAAAAGAGAAAAUCUAGACAGAAAGGUGCAGUAGGAGAUUUGAUGAGUGAGCAAAGUGCCAGUGGAAGACGGGAUAAUUGUGGUGCACUUUGUGGGCCUGAUCUCCAGAGAAGGCAGGCUGGCAUGUGGGAGCAGCUGUGCCUCCCAGUGUCACACAGAGUCCAGAAAGUGGUUUGACCUGAUUUUUGGAAGGAGCAGGAAGAAGCUGCUUGACAACCCCUACAAAAUAUUUAGCUGAACACAACAAACAAGUCUGAGGACAGGCAAGCAAACAGUGAAUUAAUUUAUGGGAUUUUAAUGAUGGAAGAAAGGCCCAUUAAAUCCAGGAAAUAGCACAUAUGGAAGCAGCUCAAGACCGUGGAAACCAAGCGAGAAAUGUGUGGGGAAGGCACGCAAACAGCUGGGGAGGGUGCUGUCAGAAUGCCUGCUGUGCUCGGCAGCCUGGCAGAGCUUGAUGCUGUGUUUUGACUCUUGCUCCAAGUUCAGCCUGGAGGAAGUGUGCAGUGAAGAAACAGAGGCAGUGUGCAACUAGCUGGUAUUUCUCACACACUUCCAGGUUUGACAUCAGAACCCAGGUA